rnacentral:rRNA from 1 species
AACGAACGCUGGCGGCAUGCCUAACACAUGCAAGUCGAACGAGACCUUCGGGUCUAGUGGCGCACGGGUGCGUAACGCGUGGGAACCUGCCCUUAGGUUCGGAAUAACUCCCCGAAAGGGGUGCUAAUACCGGAUCAUGUCUUCGGACCAAAGAUUUAUCGCCUUUGGAUGGGCCCGCGUUGGAUUAGCUAGUUGGUAGGGUAAAAGCCUACCCAGGCAACGAUGCGUAGCUGGUCUGAGAGGGGGAUCAGCCACACUGGGACGGAGACGCGGCCGAGACUCCGACGGGAGGCAGCAGGAGGGAAUCGGCCGCAAUGGGCGAAAGCCUGACGGAGCAACGGCGCGGGAGGGAGGAAGGGCGUCGGAGCGGAGAACACUGUGAGGAGGGAAGAACAAAUGUGUAAGUAAAUAUGCACGUCGGGACGGUACCUAAUCAGAAAGCCACGGCUAACUACGUG